rnacentral:rRNA from 1 species
UGGGGAAUAUUGGACAAUGGGCGCAAGCCUGAUCCAGCAAUGCCGCGUGAGUGAUGAAGGCCUUAGGGUUGUAAAGCUCUUUCGCACGCGACGAUGAUGACGGUAGCGUGAGAAGAAGCCCCGGCUAACUUCGUGCCAGCAGCCGCGGUAAUACGAAGGGGGCUAGCGUUGUUCGGAAUUACUGGGCGUAAAGGGCGCGUAGGCGGCCUGUUUAGUCAGAAGUGAAAGCCCCGGGCUCAACCUGGGAAUAGCUUUCGAUACUGGCAGGCUUGAGUUCCGGAGAGGAUGGUGGAAUUCCCAGUGUAGAGGUGAAAUUCGUAGAUAUUGGGAAGAACACCGGUGGCGAAGGCGGCCAUCUGGACGGACACUGACGCUGAGGCGCGAAAGCGUGGGGAGCAAACAGAUUAGAUACCCUGGUAGUCCACGCCGUAAACGNUGAAUGCUNGACGUCGGGGUGCAUGCACUUCGGUGUCGCCGCUAACGCAUUAAGCAUUCCGCCUGGGGAGUACGGCCGCAAGGUUAAAACUCAAAGGAAUUGACGGGGUCAUAGCUGUUUCCU